rnacentral:rRNA from 1 species
GAUGAACGCUGGCGGCGUGCUUAACACAUGCAAGUCGAACGGAGUGCUCAUGACGGAGGUAUUCGUCCAACGGAUUGAGUUACUUAGUGGCGGACGGGUGAGUAACGCGUGAGGAACCUGCCUCGGAGUGGGGAAUAACAGCCCGAAAGGGUUGCUAAUACCGCAUGAUGCAGCUGGGUCGCAUGAUACAGUUAGGAAAGGAGCAAUCCGCUAAUAGAUGGGCUUGCGUCUGAUUAGCUAGUUGGUGGGGUAACGGCCUACCAAGGCGACGAUCAGUAGCCGGACUGAGAGGUUGAACGGCCACAUUGGGACUGAGAUACGGCCCAG